CAGAUCUUGAGGCGGGCCAUUGGAGUUGGAAACACAAACUUCAGUGACGGAAUUCGACGACUGGCCAUCCUCCACGACCAAAAUCUCGGGCUCUACGCCCAGGUGCCUUACGCCAUUCAUUUUCUCCGCCUGCAAACCUCCACGUCUGUAAGUUACGAAUGGAUUUCAAGGACACAUUUUAUAUUAGUAAGCUGUGGAAUAGGCUUCUUACUUGUUGUUUCAAUCGCUUAUUCUCAUCCAUCAGCUCGGCCGACUGCAUAUAUAUAAAACUUUGAAUUUAGUAAUAAAUAGCAUAUUCAUAUUCAUUCCUCAUCUGAUAAUUAAACAAUAAGCAGCAUAUUCAUUCGUAUUUACGAGAGUAAUGGCACAAGCUAUUUACAUCCGAUGAUAUGAAAAAAGAUUACAAAAUUUGUAUCAUUGAUGAAAAACCACAUGCUUAUAAAUAUAAACAUAAAAAAGAUAUUCAUGAAUAUAACUAAAUUACAUACAUGAUAUUAUUAUCAAGUACUUAAAUUCUCCUAAAACGGGUCUUUUGGCAAUAGCCUUAGUUAUUUGAAGGUAGAACUUAACCUUUCUUUGAAGGUCAGUGAUCUCUUUCAUGAUCCGUUCACCCUGGGACAUAAAAACGGAACCAUAUCUGAGAAGAAAAUAGGAUUUUUUUACCAACGGCAAGGAAAGGGAAAAUACCUUUUUCUCCAUCACACGGCUCAAUCCAGACUCCAGU
rnacentral:lncRNA from 1 species